rnacentral:lncRNA from 1 species
GCAUCCUUGAAGACAAGAGCUUCUGAAAGGUCUGGAUUUCCAUGCCAGCGAAGACACCUCUAUCAGCGUGUUGCAGACACAGCUCAAACUCAGUGGGCCCCACGACUGCAAUCGUGUUCCCUGGAAAACCGCUUCUCUGCUUGUGUCCCUUUCUUGCCACCGUGUCGUCCAAGCUACAAACGUGGGCGUGAGCCUUACUGUGGCUCUCUCCUGCCUGCGCAAGUCUACCUCCGGGGUAUUUGUGAUCCUUCCUCCUGUUCUUGCCAUGGAGACGCCUCACCAGCACACACCUUGGACCCCAGAUCCCAGUUGCUCUCUGACCUCCUACCUUUACCCUUUACGCCCAACAUUCCUGCCAGAGAGGUCUUCUGGGUGCACAUGUUGAGUCUGUCACUCCUCAGUUUAACAUCCUCCGGGGACCCCAAAUCCCAUUCAAAGAGAAGUCCAGCUCCUUGGCAAGGCUUACCAGAGUCUGAAUCGGGAGACUCUUUCCUUCAUUCUCAUCUCUCGCCAUAACAAAAUACUCUGGUGAAGGGCUCUUGGGUGCUUCUGAGCCAGACUCUCGCGCCCCAGUCCCCGUAGACUUGCUGAGCGCCACAUCCUUCUGACGGCUGGCUUUCUUCCAUUUCUGCCUCAAGGACAUGGAGUGGGGGACAAGGGUAGUGCCUUGUUCACAGCGCAAUCCCUUGCCCUGUGCUUUGCACACAGUGGGCAUCAAACAUCCCUUGAGUGAAUGAAUGAUGGGCAACACUGCACCAGGGGCUAUGAUACAAGGAUAUCAGCGGCACAGACUUGUCUUGGAAAAGUCCCUCAGCUCCCUUAGAGCUCCAUGGUCAUAAACUAAUAGUUUUAGAACUACUCCUGUUAGACAUGGGUAUAUACUGGGUUUGUUAAAUUGAUAGCAUGUUUAUUUUUAAAAAUGAAACGUUGGGGCGCCUGGAUGGCUCAGUUGGUUAAGCGCCUGACUUGGGCUCAGGUCAUGAACUCACUGUUUGUGGGUUCCAGCCCCACGUCCGGCCCUGUGCUGACAGCUUAGAGCCUGGAGCCUGCUGCGGAUUCUGUGUCUCCCUCUCUCUCUGCCCUUCCCCCGCUCAUGCUCCGUCUCUUUCAAAAAUAAAAUAAACAUAAAAUUUUUUUUAAUGAAACGU